UACGUAGGGCGCAAGCGUUGUCCGGAAUUAUUGGGCGUAAAGAGCUCGCAGGCGGCCAGUUGCGUCCGCUGUGAAAUCCCAGGGCUUAACCCUGGGCGUGCAGUGGAUACGGGCUGGCUGGAGGCAGGCAGGGGAGAGCGGAAUUCCCGGUGUAGCGGUGAAAUGCGCAGAUAUCGGGAGGAACACCGGUGGCGAAGGCGGUUCUCUGGGCCUGUACUGACGCUGAGGUGCGAAAGCGUGGGGAGCAAACAGG
rnacentral:rRNA from 1 species